GAUGAGGUGGCUGAAAUUUUAGGUUAUAAAUUGUAAAUUUAUAUAUGGGUGUAUACCCCCUUGUCA
rnacentral:tRNA from 1 species